UGGCAGACAUCUUGGUUGGUUGGACGGGUCACGCCACACAAUUUUUAAACUAAAUACCCCAAUAAUGAUUGUGGCCAAGUUUGGUUAAAUUUGGCCAAGGAGUUUCAGAGGAGAAGAUUUUUGUAAAAGAUUACAAAAAUUUACGAAAAAUUGGUCAAAAUGGACUAUAAAGGGCAAUACCUCCUUAAGGGGUCAACUGAUAAUUUUGGUCAUGUUGACUUAUUUGUAGAUCUUACUUUGCUGAACAUUAUUGCUGUUUACAGUUUAUCUCUUUCUAUAAUAAUAUUCAAGAUAAUAACCAAAAUCUGCAAAAUUUCCUUCAAAUUACUUUUUCGGGGCAGCAACCCAAUAACCGGUUGUCCUAUUCAUUUGAAAGUUUCAGGGCUGAUAGAUUUUCACUUGAUGAACAAUUUUACCCCAUGUCAGAUUUGCUCUAAAUGCUUUGGUUUCAGAGUUAUAAGCCAAAAUCUACAUUUCACCCCUAUCUUCUAUUUUUAGCCAUGGCGGCCAUCUUGGUUGGUUGGCCGGGUCACACCACACAUUUUUAAAACUAGAUACCCCAAAGAUGAUUGUGGCCAAGUUUGGAUUAAUUUGGCCAUGUAGUAUCAGAGGAGAAGAUUUUUGUAAUAGAUUACUAAGAAUUACGAAAAAUGGUUAAAAAUUGACUAUAAAGGGCAAUAACUCCUAAAGGGGUCAACUGACCAUUUCGGUCAUGUUGACUUAUUUGUAAAUCUUACUUUGCU
rnacentral:lncRNA from 1 species